GGGGGCGACAUGGCUUCGACGCGGGUAGCGAAACCUUCGGUGCAUGUCGAGUAUGUAGAUAAACUCGUAAAACUUUUCUACAAAAUGAUAGUUGCAAACGACGACAACUACGCACUAGCGGCUUAACCCUGCUAGCCUCUCACCUGGCUUGUUCGUGGGACAGGAUUCGAGGGGUCAAAACACACGAAAUCGCCCGAGCGGUCUGACCAUCGCCGCGACGGUUAAACUCAAGAUGGAAUCGCUGUAACACUUGCCCGUCUGUCGGCGCGUGUUGCAGCUAAAACAAAAGACAGACUAAACAUGUAGAUCCGAAUGGCGGAGGACUCGCGGACGGGGGUUCGAUCCCGCCGCCCCCAA
rnacentral:tmRNA from 1 species